UGUUUUUUUUCCACAUUAAACCCAUGCUGUGC
rnacentral:piRNA from 1 species